rnacentral:rRNA from 1 species
CGAGCGGGGAUGUAGCUUGCUACAUGACCUAGCGGCGGACGGGUGAGUAAUACUUAGGAAUCUGCCUAUUAGUGGGGGACAACGUUCCGAAAGGAGCGCUAAUACCGCAUACGCCCUACGGGGGAAAGCAGGGGAUCUUCGGACCUUGCGCUAAUAGAUGAGCCUAAGUCGGAUUAGCUAGUUGGUAGGGUAAAGGCCUACCAAGGCGACGAUCUGUAGCGGGUUUGAGAGGAUGAUCCGCCACACUGGGACUGAGACACGGCCCAGACUCCUACGGGAGGCAGCAGUGGGGAAUAUUGGACAAUGGGCGCAAGCCUGAUCCAGCCAUGCCGCGUGUGUGAAGAAGGCCUUAUGGUUGUAAAGCACUUUAAGCGAGGAGGAGGCUUACCUGGUUAAUACCUAGGAUAAGUGGACGUUACUCGCAGAAUAAGCACCGGCUAACUCUGUGCCAGCAGCCGCGGUAAUACAGAGGGUGCAAGCGUUAAUCGGAAUUACUGGGCGUAAAGCGCGCGUAGGUGGCCAUUUAAGUCAAAUGUGAAAUCCCCGAGCUUAACUUGGGAAUUGCAUUCGAUACUGGGUGGCUAGAGUAUAGGAGAGGAAGGUAGAAUUCCAGGUGUAGCGGUGAAAUGCGUAGAGAUCUGGAGGAAUACCGAUGGCGAAGGCAGCCUUCUGGCCUAAUACUGACACUGAGGUGCGAAAGCAUGGGGAGCAAACA